CCUACGGGAUGCAGCAGUGAGGAAUAUUGGUCAAUGGGCGCGAGCCUGAACCAGCCAAGUAGCGUGAAGGAUGCCUGCCCUACGGGUUGUAAACUUCUUUUAUACAGGAAUCAAGUGAGGCACGUGUGCCUUUUUGUAUGUACUUUAUGACUCAGGAUCGGGUAACUCCGUGCCAGCAGCCGCGGUAAUACGGAGGACACGGGCGUUGUCCGGAUUUCUUGGGUUUAAAGGGAGCGUAGAUGGGUUGUUAAGUCAGUUGGGAAAGUUUGCGGCUCAACCGUAAAAUUGCAAUUGAUACUGGCAGUCUUGAGUACAGUUGAGGUAGGCGGAAUUCGUGGUGUAGCGGUGAAAUGCUUAGAUAUCACGAAGAACACCGAUUGCGAAGGCAGCUUACUAAACUGCCACUGACAUUGAGGCUCGAAAGUGUGGGUAUCAAACAGGAUUAGAUACCCUUGUAGUC
rnacentral:rRNA from 1 species